UCUACUUCUGGCUAGUUCACUAAUCUUUCAACCUCCGAUGAAUCGUCGAACCACAACUCCGUUGUACUCAUUUUCACAAAAAAUACUUUUUUUAACUUUUAAAAAUGUUGUUAGCAAAGAAUUUCAACACAAUCGGUUUUUCUUUUAUUUUGAUUUGCUGUAUCAGCUGAGAAAAAUUAUCUAUUGUAAAUGCGUCGAGCGAUCGAAAUUCACAAUAGUCCUAUUCUUCAACGAAUGAGCACCAUAAUACCAAAUGAAAAUUCGUUCGAUCAGCACUUUCGACUACAGUCGAAGAUCGAAUGUUGCUCAUAAUAAGGGCCGUUAUGUUACUGCUAUUCGAGAAUUUCGACAAAAAUAAGGAAACUAAAUAUAUCGUCAAGUGUGUGGAAAUGAAAAGAAUAUUUGCAAAUAAAACAUUAUGAGAUAUGCUCAUAAAAUCUGUCUACACAUUAUUAGUGUCAUAGAUUGUUCGUAAAAACCCAGCAGAGCUCAAUAUGAAGAGUUAGUUGCAAAACUAAAAAAGCAUGUGUAUUCCAAGAAAGACAUUUUACUAAUACAACACCAUUUUCUUGCAAAAUAUCAAUGUGAAUAGCAAAUUGAAGCAAGUUUUUUGGCAUGUCUCCAGCGUGACAUAAAUUAUUGUGCAUUUGUGUCGCAGGUCAGUACAAUGCUCUCAUUUCUAACAUUCUUCUUCAAGCUCAAUUCAUUAGAAGAAUCCGAGAUAAGACAAUCCGCGAACAGCUCAUUCAGUCAGAAUAUUAGAGAAAUUUUUUUGGAAAAAAACGCUAUCUUUAGAAGCACUCAACAUACCUAGAUAGCCGUGAACUCAAUGCAAAAUUACAAAGUACUAUAAAUGAUGUCAACAAAGUACUCGCAGGUAUAAAACGUAGUAGAAGGCCACCGAUACAUUCAAUAAUAAUCAAAUAUAAACUUGGUGCAAAUAUUUGUCAACAAAGUACUCGCAGGUAUCGAAAACUUGUGCAUACGAGGCGGAAGAGAGAAUCACAAAACAAAGGAAUGUCGCGCAAGGCGACAUAACCUCAAAUAAAACUCGCGCCACGCUGCUGCGUAUGUUUGGAACCAAUAAUGCCAGAAACCGGUGAAGAAGGAACUGUACGUGUCGUAGCGUUAGAUCGCAGUUUUCACUUCGAAUGUUAUAAAAGUGAAGACUGUGGUUUGUUGUUAUCGUCAGAAGCCGAGGUUCGUGGAUGCUAUCCUCUAGACGGACAUAUACUCUGUAGAAGUUGUAAUGCAAAACGUGUGCAAAUGUUAACAAGGCGCAUGGCAACAGAGUUAUAAACAAACUUAUUACUGUGACAUAUUAUAUUAUGAAUAUUAUGUAUAAUUUCUACACUCAUAUGUAAAAUUAAAGUAAA